rnacentral:misc_RNA from 1 species
UCUAUCUUGGUCGUGGUGUUGCGCGUUGUAAGUUUACAUUAUUAUUUUUGUUAUUAUUAUUAAAUUUAAAUCGCUCAUGCUGUGAUCUACAAUCUACUAUUUUUCAGGAAUGUAUAAUUAUUUUGUCAAACAGAGCACCGUUAAAAGGUUUGCAUUUUGCUGAAGUUCAUUUUAUUUCUAUCCCUGCAAACAUACUGCAAUACAAUGGUUUUGUGAAUUUGACCUCAAAGAUUCCGGUCCUGUGUCAAGCACCCAUUGGUUUGUGUAAAUAGCUCCAUCUACUCAGGAUAUUGUACAAACACACUGGGGACAUUUGUAUUGUCACUUAUCUGCUCUGUGUUGUCCUGAUCUGUAUGCGUUGUUCAGAAAAUAACAGAGAUGAAUAGGACACAACUAGGGUUCCGGAACAAGAAAACGGAAAUGUUAGUGGUAAAACUGAGAUUUUACUUUAUAGAAAUUAGAAGUAGACAGCACAGGGGAACGAAGAAGUCAAGUGCCAACGAUGAGUGUAAUUAUGAAACUGUGGUGCUUCUUUUCCUUACUUCUGUCACAGGCUGGAGUACUCGCCAUCACUUGUGUCAGUCAGGACCCUAACGAAAGGAGACAAGAAAAAGAAAAUAGUCUCACAAACGUCACCUCUUCUUUUACCAUUAAGGAAGGAUCAGAGUAUUCCAGCAGUAAAUUUAAAGUAUUUUUUGAAGUUUGUGAAGGAAGUAAAAGUAGACCUCACUGUAUGUUUGUGUGGGAAAAGGAAUUUAGAAACAUAUCUGUUCUAAACUGGAGUCCAGGAGAAAUGACGAUGUGUUCCGCAAAGCAUCUCAUCGUCAGCGCCUCCACGUUCAUAGUUGAUGUUCAGAUUUCUUUGCCAGUCAAACGGUCUUUCAACCUGAUGAUGUUGUCUGUUGCUGACAACGAGGAAACAUUUAAGCCGUUACGCGUCAUCGGUCUUGUGGUGACCUAUAAGCCCAAGGUCACAAGUCUCACUGUUGACGGCCAUGAAGUUGAUGGUGACCAUCUCAUCAGUGAGGGAAAGAACGUGACCGUUGCCUGUUCUUUUGAUAAUGGGAACCCUCCAGCUCCCUUUCAUCUGCUGGACAAAAGUGGACAGAUAUUGAGAAACACCAGCAACGAAGGAAAUGUCAGCUAUUCAUUUGCUGUCAGGUGUGAAGAUGACUGGCCAAUCAUUGGGUGUGAAGGAGCAGGGUCGGAAUUCAACAGAUCCGUAUCUUUUCUUGUCAGAUGUCCUCCUCAGUUUUUAAAGAACUCGACAACCAUCACCAACCUUGACCCUUCGGGUUCUCUAACGCUUGUGGUCAAGUCUCACACGGCAGCAGUCAAUGGCUGUCUUCUAACACCUCUGUCUUCAGAAGAUAAGGCCACAAGGGAAGUGAGCUGCACUCUGCAGGGUACCAAGCCUAAUCUCCUAUUAAACCUUCACUUUCAAAACGAAAGCAUAGCUAACGGAAACUGGAUUUUAACUCUUCGCAGUGAAAGUGGUUCUGCGAACACGACACUUCGAAUCAUUAAAAGGCAAAACGAAACUGGUAAACAACGUUCAUAUAUGUAUAACACAUGACAUAAUUACAGUUUUUUCAUAAAUAUAUAGAUAUAUAUAUAUAUGUUACACACACAACAUAUGUUAUACACGCACAACAAAUAUAUUUAUAUAUAUAUGAACUCUCUUUUUUAGCAUCGCCAUUUAAAAAACAAAAAUCGGAGUUUGGCUCUAACCAGUAUGAAAUUGAAAGGAGUUUUCACUUGUAGGAUGUUCUAGUUGAAAUUUAAUAAUUUCUCCUUUCUCUGAUGUCAACUCCGCUGGAACAAUCAUGUGUAAAACGGUACAAAACAAAACCGAUUUUAGCACCGAGAUCGUUGUUUAUUUUAAACAAGCAGUUUCCAAGUUUCAACACAGAAGAAAACAUGACAACAAACGGUGAGCAUAUUAAACACAGUUACAAGUAAGAUUAACAUGUGUUUAAUUUAAACAUAUAUGCAAAGAAAGAUCUAGUUAACUUUUAAAGAAGCAGGAACAUUAACUCGAACAAAUUUUACUUAAGGACAAUUAUUAUUUUUCUGUAAUCUGAGAAUACUAAGCUCGCAAUUGUUUUGACAUCUAACGACAUUUUCCUACCCUUUAUUUAAUGAAAGAAAUAAAGAGACGAAGACAGUAUUAACAAUGUUUUAAUCCUUCUUACCUGUUAUACACAGAAUAAACAAUGGUAACUCUUUAGAUGACGACGAUGAUGAUGAUUAUGGCAACCUACAUGCAUCUGAACGGGCAAGGGUAGCUGCAGGAAAAGCCGAGAGACAGUGCAUUCUCCUGUGAUGGUAGUUCCACGGGUGCCUGAAACGAUGGGCUCUGUGUUUCAUCAACAUCAUUCAGUGGUUGCACCUCAACUACUUGCCAUACCUCUGGACACUCUGCAAGAAGACAGUCGUUUGGGAAAUGUAGUUCUGUAAACUCUAAAAGUGUAACAAAAGACAAUGUUCAAGGAAACAAACGAUAGCUGUGCAGAAAAGUGCAGCAUCUGAUUACUUGUAUUACAAUUAAAAUAGGCCUAAUACUGUAUUAAUAGUGAUAAUGAUGAACUUAAUGUAACAUGUUUUCAUUACAAAAUAGAUUUGUGAAGGAACUUACAUAUCUUCAGCUAAAUGACAGUUAAUAAAUAUUUCUAUGCAAACUUUACGAAUCUAUUUUUGAAAAAUUUAAAGUAACUUAGAAAAUUAAUCACAUUUAAAACUUUUACAGUUGGGGUAGAUAGUUUAGCAGGUACAACCAGGUCAAGACCAUAACUUUUGAAUUUACUUUUUCACUAGAAAUUUGUUUUAAAGUAUUCUUCAAUUUUGUUAUUCUUUGGCCACAUAUAUAUAGGUUCCGAUUAAUGGAGAGACUGCUGCGUUUCUCAAAUAUGAAAGUCUGAUAAAAUUGACAGUAGCUUGACAAAUGUGACAUAACCAGAACUGAAAAAAGAUGCAGCAAGACAGUCGUUUUUGUGCAUGUAAACAUUUAUACUUUGUAGUUGUGCUGUGCUAGGAAGAAAACCACUUAGAAAUCACUUAGGAUAACUUUAGAAAAAGAACAGUUUCCAUUUAUCCAUUUCAUAAAUGGCAUAAAGUAAUAAACAACAAUAAUUACAAAUAUUUUGGUGAUGAAAUCACCUUUUUCACUUUAAUCAUAAAUCCAUUCAAGUGUUACAAGCUGAAAAAUGUGGUCUUGCUAAUGACAUAACAUGUACACAUUUAUUGCAGUCCUUGAUGAGACCAUAAUGGAAAAUCCAGAAAGCAAGACUGUGACUCUGUUGGACCCUUUUUCAAGUGAGACCAAAGGCAUAUAUACAGUGCAGAACAGUAGAAGUCUGUGGCUAUGGGACACGUAAACACUUUUAAAAACCAAAGACUUUUCACAGAUGUUAUUAACUGGGAAGGCUACC